GAUGAAGAACGCAGCGAAAUGCGAUACGUAAUGUGAAUUGCAGAAUUCAGUGAAUCAUCGAAUCUUUGAACGCAUAUUGCGCUCUCUGGUAUUCCGGAGAGCAUGCUUGUUUGAGUAUCAGUAAACACCUCAACUUCCAUAUCUUUUUUGAAAUGGGAGUUGGACUUGAGUGAUCCCAACGCUUUUCCUCACCGAAAAGUGGCGGGUUACUUGAAAUGCAGGUGCAGCUGGACUUUUCUCUGAGCUAUAAGCAUAUCUAUUUAGUCUGCCUAAAAACAGAUUAUUACCUUUGCUGCAGCUAACAUAAAGGAGAUUAGUUCUUGUGCUGACUGAUNNNNGAUUCACAAAGACAGGCUUCGGCCGACUUUGUAAACUCGAUCUCAAAUCAAGUAAGACUACCCGCUGAACUUAAGCAUAUCAAUAAGCGGAGGA
rnacentral:misc_RNA from 1 species